GGGGGGGGAGCGAGCGCUCGCGGGCCCCGUGGUGGGUUCGGCUGCGCGGCGGGGCUGAGGCGGCCGCGAAGGUCCGAGCGCAGAAAGUGGACACUGGGUUCCUGAACCUCCUCACUGAAGACAGCCAGGCCUCAAGCACAGGGUAGAGUGGUGCUGCUUCUUGGAAAAAUUGAAAAAGCUCUCUGGACGACAGGGGCCCAAAGCUGAUGGCAGACAAUGUCAGCCACUAACAACAUAGCCCAGGCUCGGAAGCUGGUGGAGCAGCUCCGCAUCGAGGCCGGGAUCGAGCGCAUCAAGGUCUCCAAAGCCUCAUCUGAACUCAUGAGCUACUGUGAGCAGCACGCCCGGAAUGACCCCCUGCUCGUGGGAGUCCCUGCCUCCGAGAACCCCUUUAAGGACAAGAAGCCUUGUAUUAUCUUAUAGCUUUGUUUUCUUGCGCUCAACUCCUCCCCGACACCCAGCCUCCAGUCAGGGCGCCAUUCAGUACAGAGUCCAGCAAAACUCUUAAUUCCAAAAGAAAUGCAAAAAGUUGCCACUGCCCAGAUGGGUUAAGAUGGAUCCUCUGAUUUCAGAUGGAUUUUCAGACCCCGCAAUGCAGCCCCCUUAAGGGCCGGGCUUCUGCACCGCUUCCGAUUGGAAAUAACUGAAAUGCCCAAGUGGUGUGCUAACAGUUUUUGAAAACUGAGUUGACCUUUGGGUUGUGGCUCAGAGCCGAGCUGGGCCAGGGUAUGGGAAGGAGGUGGGUGAACUAGCCGCUGGCCUGGGCAACCCGGCCAGGUGGCAAGUCUCACACUGUUGGCCGUUUGUGAUGACUUCUGCCAGGUUGAUGAUGUGAUGCUUUUUUUGGGGGGGGGCUCUCAAGCAGAAAUGCAGCCUGGGGAGGCCUACACAGUGAGUAGGGCUGCCUGGUGCUUCAGGGUGUAACAAGGUGUGAGAUUAUCUGGAAGUAGCUGUGAAGGCCGGGGAGUUUGAGAGACACUCUCAGUGCUCCCUCUGCACUCUCGCCCCACCACUUGGAGCGUCUGAUCUGCGGGAGGAAAUGAGAUGUGUCUCCCAACAUCCUUGGAAAUGUGAGGGGUCCUAGAGUUGACCGUUGGGGACAGGACAGAGGCUUUUUUACAAUUGCUGUUUCCUCUGUUGUGACAAGGACAGUUAAAGGAUGGGAGGCAGGAGGACAGGCCCAACGCACACCUGCCCUCACCUGCCAGCACUACCAACAGCUGCCGGGACUCCCGCCCUGAGCUCUGGGUCCAGCUGCCUGCAACCUGGGAGGAGGUCAGAAUCCCAGGCCUAGAAGGAGCAUCCUGGGCAGCCGGCAGAAGGCACUUGGGGCCAGGCCCAGAGCCCCGAGCUCCCCUCGUGCCCCUGGGUCUCAGACCUUGCAUGGCUGCACCUCGCAGCCGGCCCACACAGGGUGCAGACCAAGGCCAACUUUCUCCCUGGCAUCCAGCUCUCUCCGGCCGGUCCGGGAGCACCUGGGGCCUGGGGAGUCUGGCUUCUCUGAAGCAGCACUUGGGCGGGGAGGGUCCGCAAAGCCCCCCCACGAUGCUGCCCCCUCUCACUGCACAGGGAGCCUGCACUCUGACAGAGCAGCAGGACAAACGAAGCUCAUUCUAGAAACCCCGGGCAUGCCCAGUUGGGGGCAGGGCAUGGCGGGACUGAAGCCAAGGGGCAGAGGGGGGCAGCUGGCAGAGCGCAUCUGCCAGCGAGGACCCCCCCACCAGCUUUCUGCUGACUGGUAACUGUUUGGUCUGGGUCAGAAGCCUUAAUCCCUUGAGCCCAAGCCGGGGCCAUGCACUCCUGGCCCCCGAGAGCAGGAGGGGUCCUGAUCAGCGUCAGGAGAGCCCCAGGGCCCAGACCUCCCCUCUCUCUCCACCCCCUGCCCUGCCAGCUGUGCCAAGCCCAGCCCCACUGCGUGUCCCCACCCAAGUGACCCGAACAGCCAGUGGGAAGCAAAGCCCAGGACCCCUGGCUGAGGGGUGGGAGGAACUUGAGUUCAGCGGCCACAUCGUCCCCUCCUGGGCCAGGGGUCCCCUAGUGGGAAUGCCAGGGGCCCAGCUGUCUUGGUAAACUGAGGCUCCUGGAAGGUUUGGACCACUGUCCUCCCCAUCCACCCACCCAAGGCCACCCCUGCCCAAGCACCACAGUCUCGGAGCCCGGGGGGGGCUGUCAGCAAGGCCCCACUCUGGGCUUCUUUCUAGCCAAGAAAAAGGGCCUCUUUCUUCCCUUCCUUUCCUCCUUGUAGAGUAAUCGUCAGUGUCCCUAAUGCAGGCUUGAAGCAUCAGUGCCCACGUGACAGUGUGUUCUGCUUGUGGUUUCCUUGUGCACGUGUCGGCAUGAAAACACGUUUUGAGGGUAUUUUGGCGGCCGUAAGUGCCCCCAUGAGGCCAGGAGUGGACCUUGGGGAAACCAGCAUGUCUCAAGCACGUCACAGGGGAGUGAAGGAAACACAAGAAGGCAGGGCUGGGUGACUUGGAGUCUCCCUCCUCCCACAGCCUCCUCUCCCCUCCCCCUUUCUCUCCCAAGGUGUCCCCCAGCCCGAGAAUUAAGUGACUGGGUUGUGACCUCUGGCCCACGGGAUGGGGACACAAACCUCUGGGCCGGGCAGAAGGUGCUCUUUCUUCCUUUGAUGUCCCGGCCACUCUGUCCAGACGUCGCUGGGCCUCCAGGCAGCUCAUCCAUCUCGAGCUGCAGGCAGGCAGGAAAAGGCCAUCGGACCCCUGAUCCCAGCAUGAGUGACCAGAGGCAGUUUCCGGGACACGGUGAGGCCACCAAAGGUCGCUCGUCCUUCAAGAGCCUAUGCGGGGUCCUCUGAAAAGAAGCCAUAUGUCAAUACCCUGCCCCUUCCUUCUCUGUCUGCAGAGACCAUUGCCAAACAUUGUCAAGACCAGUUCCAGUUCUCAGAGCAAACUGUGCUUCUAGCAGAUUCUACCCCAACUGUGUUUGGAUGUCCAGUGGUUUUUAUUUCUGAUUUUUAAAAAAAAAUUCCAGGUGUGCCAUACCCACUUUCCUGCAGUGUUUUAAUAUUGUGUGGAAUUGUUAAUACCAAGUGAAUUAAUCCACAAUAAAAAGGCUCACUGUCCCUUUC
rnacentral:lncRNA from 1 species